rnacentral:tRNA from 3 species
GGAGAGGUGGCUGAGUUGGCUGAAGGCGCGCGCCUGCUAAGUGUGUGUAGGUUUACCCCUACCGAGGGUUCGAAUCCCUCCCUCUCCGCCA